rnacentral:rRNA from 1 species
GACGAACGCUGGCGGCGUGCUUAACACAUGCAAGUCGAACGGUGAAGCGCCUUCCUUUUUGGUGGGUGUGGAUGAGUGGCGAACGGGUGAGUAACACGUGAGUAACCUGCCCCCUUCUUCUGGAUAACCGCAUGAAAGUGUGGCUAAUACGGGAUAUUCUGGUUCUGUCGCAUGAUGGGUCUGGGAAAGAUAUUGUUUCGGUGGGGGAUGGGCUCGCGGCCUAUCAGCUUGUUGGUGGGGUGAUGGCCUACCAAGGCGGUGACGGGUAGCCGGCCUGAGAGGGUGGACGGUCACACUGGGACUGAGACACGGCCCAGACUCCUACGGGAGGCAGCAGUGGGGAAUAUUGCACAAUGGGCGCAAGCCUGAUGCAGCGACGCCGCGUGAGGGAUGGAGGCCUUCGGGUUGUGAACCUCUUUCGCCAGUGAAGCAGGCCUGCCUCGUUUGUGGGUGGGUUGACGGUAGCUGGAGAAGAAGCGCCGGCUAACUACGUG